AGUGAACGCUGGCGGUAGGCCUAACACAUGCAAGUCGAACGGCAGCACAGGAAGAGCUUGCUCUUACGGGUGGCGAGUGGCGGACGGGUGAGGAAUACAUCGGAAUCUACAUUUUCGGGGGGGAUAACGUAGGGAAACUUACGCUAAUACCGCAUACGACCUACGGGUGAAAGCAGGGGAUCUUCGGACUUUGCGCGACAGAAUGAGCCGAUGUCGGAUUAGUUAGUUGGCGGGGUAAAGGCCCACCAAGGCGACUAUCCGUAGCUGGUCUGAGAGGAUGAUCAGCCACACUGGAACUGAGACACGGUCCAGACUCCUACGGGAGGCAGCAGUGGGGAAUAUUGGACAAUGGGCGCAAGCCUGAUCCAGCCAUACCGCGUGGGUGAAGAAGGCCUUCGGGUUGUAAAGCCCUUUUGUUGGGAAAGAAAAGCAGCAGGUUAAUACCCCGCUGUUCUGACGGUACCCAAAGAAUAAGCACCGGCUAACUUCGUG
rnacentral:rRNA from 1 species